CAUCCUGCAGCAGCGACGCCGCGUGUGUGAUGAAGGUCUUCGGAUUGUAAGCUUUGUUGGUUGGGACGAUAAUGGUGGGCCGGAAUGACGAAGCUGAGGAUAACUUGUGCCAACAGCCGCCGUAAUACUAAGUGCCAGCAGCCGCGGUAAUA
rnacentral:rRNA from 1 species